rnacentral:lncRNA from 1 species
AGAAGGAAAUAUUGGUAUUGGAAGUUCAAUAUUUAGAUUAGAGUAAAAAGUCAACCAACACCUAAGUAGAAUUCAGAAUUGAUCUUCUAUUUGGUAAGUUUGAUCUUCUUCAAAUUUUAUAUGCUUAUUGCUAACUUAGUUGUUAAAAGGUAUAUAAAAUCUUAAGCAAGAUUAAUGGUAUAAUUCAUAGAUAUUAAAGUUUUAAACUACCCUACGAUUAAAUUAAUUUGAUUAAGAUUUGAUUAAGAUUUGAUUUAGGAUUUAGAAAUCAGCUAGGAUUUAGGAUUUAGAAAUCAGCUAGGAUUUAGGAUUUAGAAAUCAGCUAGGAUUUAGGAUUUGUUUAGGAUUUAAGUAAAUUUUGACUUAGGAUUUAAAUAAGGACUAUUAAAAUUUUAACUAAGAUUAAAGUAAGAUUGAAGAUAUAUUUUGGGAUUUAUUUUAAUACUUUCUUUGAAUUUCUUUAGGAUUUCUUCAUGCUUCUUUUGUAAUUUCUUUGAGUUUU